rnacentral:misc_RNA from 1 species
GAAGAACACAAAAUAUGUAGCAGAAUGCAUGGGAGCAGGCAAAAGGGGCCGUUAACAGAUCGUAAAGAAGUGGUACAUAAACAUCAAAUAUAUACAAGAUUCGUGUUUGCACAGCGUACUAGUAUUUUGUCACACCAGGAAUCAAGGGAGUAUUCCACUGUCCACCCUUCUGAUUGACCUUAUAUAAACUUGCACUAUUGAAACUACUGCUUUGCCUUCUUUUUUCCCCUUACGUUAGCCAAACUCUCUAAACUCAAAACAAGAUCAGUUCAAAGUUCAAAGCCAGGGAACCUGGAAUUCUUCGGUGCAAGUAAGUCGAACAAGAAACAAGCAACACCACCUAAUCCUUGGAAAAGGGAGUAGGAAUGAUCUGCUUCAUUGUGUUCCCUUUCGUUCAUGAUCGUUCUUGCAUUUUGAUACAAGCAGCUUGCAAAAGCUUUUGCUCUUUCUUCGUAUAUACUCUCCCCAGUUAGCCGAUACAGGGAGAGGAAGGCAUAGGCAUUUCCAGAUGCUCCAUCUGCAAGUCCCACUUUCUCGACCAACCCACUUUUCCACACUACCUCUCCACCUUCUAUUGCAGCAUCACGAAACUCCCUAUCAUCUGACAGUACCUUAGAUACUUUGCACAUGGUAAUGGUAAUGCCUGUGGCACCAUGGGACCAUUGAACCAGCUUGUCUCUUGGAUUCCCUUCACUGACAGGAUAAUUACCACUGUGGGGAAACCUGUUGCUCAUCAUGUACCUUAAGGUUUCCUUAACAUCUUCAAUAUCUUCUUGAGAGAGCGGAAAAUGAAGUAACACGUGCAGAAUACCAGCAAGGCCGUGAGCUGCACCCCAAUACCUUGUCCCGUGCCAUCUAUACAUCAGAGGGCAGGCGGAGUUAUCAGAUGCGCCUGCUCUCCCUCCUGCUAGUAUUGCUUCAACCACAGGCAUAAGACUAUCAUCUGGUACUGACUCCACUCCCAAGUACUUCCUGAUAAACAAAGCUGCCCAUAAGAAGCCAGCUCGUCCAUAAAGGAGGUCAUAUGACAUUCCAAAACCUCCAUCUUCAGGUCCAACAGGAAGGGCUCUCUCUUGUGCUACCUCAAGG